rnacentral:tRNA from 1 species
GCCCGCGGCGACCGGCGCCGGUGGCGGCGGUGCCGUCCCCGCGCUGGUGACCGUGCUCGUAGCGGGCGCCGGCGUUCCAGCCGGCGCAGCGGGCGC